rnacentral:misc_RNA from 1 species
UUCUCCCAUCCAAAUGUUGAUCCAGCUUCGAUGCUAACUCUAGCUGAUACAGCUGCUGGAAGAACACUUUCCUUGUAUGCAUCUGACUGCUCAUCAAAAAGCUCCCAUGAAACAAGUGAGACAACUCUUACAGCCUUGCCCCCCUUUCUAAGCUCUUCAGCAGCCUUGGCAGCAAUUUCCAAUUCAGAACCAGUUCCAAUCAA